UAAGCACCUCGUUAGGUGAGGCGUCUACACGAAUACAGGCCACUGACCCCGAACGUCGAAAGACGCCCCGGGUCAGGACAGCUCCUCCCGGCUUAAGGGUUGAGCCCAGGUGGCUUCCGGUUUGGAUUUUUUCCAGGCCAGGACACGUCGUGUGGUGCCGAAGCUCUGACGAGAGGGGUGCGGA
rfam:Mycobacterium avium 2285 (S) gma2285S.contig.3, whole genome shotgun sequence.